GUUGAGGUCUGGGGCCUAUUUGCCCAAGUUAGGGGCCUGCGGAAACAUGAAGAGGGUAAAUAGCUGUGUGAAGAAUGAAGAGCAUGUCCUGGAAGAGCUGGAAACAGAAGGUGAGAGGCAGCUGAAGAGCCUCCUUCAACAUCAACUUGAUACCUCUGUUUCCAUUGAAGAAUGUGUCUCUAAGAAAGAGAGCUUUGCCCCAGGUACUAUGUACAAGCCCUUUGGGAAGGAAGCAGCUGGGACAAUGACUUUGUCCCAGUUCCAGACACUACAUGAAAAAGACCAGGAAACUGCUUCUCUCAGGGAACUAGGGCUCAACGAAACAGAAAUAUUGAUCUGGAAAAGCCAUGUUUCAGGUGAAAAGAGGACAAAGCUGAGGGCAACUCCUGAAGCAAUACAGAAACGGCUUCAGGAUAUUGAAGAAAGGAUCUCAGAGCGCCAGCGCAUCCUUUGCCUGCCACAGAGGUUUUCAAAGAGCAAACAGCUGACCCGGCGAGAAAUGGAAAUUGAAAAGUCUUUAUUUCAGGGAACUGAUCGUCACUCCUUCCUUAAGGCUCUUUAUUACCAAGCAUACCACAAAAAGACAAGUGCAGACAAGUACAUGACCUCAAUGAAGAGGAAGAUAAAAUUAGGCACAAAAGAUGAACCCCCAAAGAAGAACAAAGGUGAUCCCAUGAACAACCUGGAAGGUUUUUACCACGAGACUAUAAUGAAAAAACGUCUUGAAGAGUUCCAACUUAUGAGAGGUGAACCCUUUGCUUCCCACUCACUGGUCUCAGCUACAUCAGUGGGUGAUAGUGGCACAGCUGAGAACCCAUCACUACUCCAGGACAAGGGAAAACAGGCAGCACAGGGUAAAGGCCCCAGUCACCAUGUUGCAAAAGUUAUUGAUUUUCCACCUGAGCAGUAUUGGACUGGGCGUAAGAAGCUGACGCAACCAAUAGAAUUUAUCCCUGAAGAUGAGAUCCAGAGAAGCCGUUUGUCAGAGGAGGAGAUCCGAAACAUCCCUAUGUUUUCUUCAUAUAACCCAGGGGAACCAAACAAGGUGCUAUACCUGAAGAACCUUAGUCCUCAGGUGAAAGAAAGAGACCUUGUCUCAUUAUUUGCUCGGUUCCAGGAGAAAACAGGACCACCCAUUCAGUUCCAAAUAAUGACUGGACGCAUGAGGGGACAGGCUUUCAUCACCUUUCCCAAUAAAGACAUAGCAUGGCAAGCAUUGCAUCAAAUAAAUGGAUAUAAACUCCAUGGGAAAAUAUUGGUGAUAGAGUUUGGAAAGAACAAAAAGCAACAGUCAGUUGUCCAGGGUGCUUCCCUUAUAACAUCUGCUACAAAUAGGAGUGCAGAAAUCAGUGGUUGCUAGAGUGCAUAUCAACACAUUUGGACAUAUAUAUGUGUAUAAGCAUACACACUGAUCUUUCUUUCAUCAUAAUCUAAGAUCUACAAUAUAUAUAUACAUAGAAAUUUGUUUAAAAAUUAAGAGGAAAUAUUAGUAAUUAAGACACUGGCUCUCAGCAUUUAGAGAACUGGUAGAAAUAUUUUCCAUAAUUAAAUACUGUAUAGUCUAGAAAAAGACUAUAAAAUUGACACUAUCCUGAGUAUUAAAGAUAAUAAUCAAGCACUUUAUAGGACAGAUAAUACCCUGAACAUUAAGAUUAUAUGAAAACCUUUAAUUCUCAGGAUAUGUUACACAGGAUUGUUCUGGAGAUUCUGAAAGUUCUUUAAUUUAAUGUUUAGUCCUAGAGAUAACACUUUUUCUGGGACUGUUUCCUAUAUACAAAUAUUUAAAACUAAUUCAGUGUUAAAAUAUUUAUUUACUAGAACUCACUGUUUUGUCUGAACUUUCAACAGUUACAGUAGGUAGAUUUAUGAGUUUAUCCACAUUUUUUUUUAGUUUUUCCAGACAGGGUUUCUCUGUGUAGUUUUGGUGCCUGUCCUGGAUCUCGCUCUGUAGACCAGGCUGGCCUUGAACUCACAGAGAUCCACCUGGCUCUGCCUCCUGAGUGCUGGGAUUAAAGGUGUGAACCACCACCACCUGGCUUUAUCCACAUAUUUAAUGAUUGCUUCCACAUUAAGUUUUCAGAGUUCUCAAAAAGAUAUUGACAUCUUUUAAACCAAAAUAUUGGUAAUCUCAUGAUACUAUUGAAUUCAAAACAAUAGACAUUAAACAUGGAGUAACUGCCUAAUAUAUAUUAAACAUUAGGUGUAUGAACUUUUGAGAGAGAACAAAUUAGCAAAGAAUACUAAAAGGACAAAGAAAGAAAGUUCUAUACUUUAGAAGAUAGGCAUCCUGCCUCAAAUCCCCUAGUGAUUUGUUUAUAGUUAUUAAAGAAUAGAAACACAAUAGAGUAUAGACGAGAUAGUACCCGCUUUGGAGUCAGACCUGUGAUCUUCAUAGUCACACCUGUUUACUACCCUUAAAUUCAAAAGUCACUUCACCUGAACCUCAUUUAUCUCAUCUAUAAAGUAGAGUAAUAGUGCUACUUACCUCACUGAGUAAGGGUUAAAUGAGAUUCUAUUAUCCAAGGGAAAAAACGAAGGACAUAUGGGAAACUCCACUAAGCACAUCAAACAAUAUAUAAUAAGAAUUCCGUUUAAAAAACAGAGAAAGAAGCCGGGCGGUGGUGGCGCACGCCUUUAAUCCCAGCACUCGGGAGGCAGAGCCAGGCGGAUCUCUGUGAGUUCAAGGCCAGCCUGGACUACCAAGUGAGUUCCAGGAAAGGCGCAAAGCUACACAGAGAAACCCUGUCUCGAAAAACCAACAAAAAAAAAAAAAAAAAAAAAAAAAAAAAAAAAACAGAGAAAGAAAGGUGCGUAAAAAUACUGCAAGAGGACCAGCAAAAUGGCUUAGUGGUUAAAGACACUCGCCACCAAUCAUGAAGACCUGAGUUCAAACCCUAAGACCUACAUGAUAGAAGGAGAGAACCAAUUCCAAGCCCUAAAACAACCUGAAGCAAGGUAGCAAAGUAAAGAACGACGGGAGAAGAGACACAUCUCUGAAAAGGUGGAAUACUCUUCAUUUCUACUAAAAGGAGUGCUGCACAGAUGCUAAACAAGGAAGUAGAAUACUUCAACACUGAGCUGAGUAGAUCUGAAAAACAACUGUAGAACAGUCUACCUACAACACGAGAAUAUAGAUUUUAUCCCAUGCGUAUGAAACAUCUUUAGGCUAGAUCAUGAGCUAAACUACAAAACAGGCCUUAAUAAAUAUAAAUAGACUGAAGUAAUAUAAAACAUGCCCUCUGACCACCUGGAAGGAAGUUAGAAAUAAGUAACAUUAAAUUGGGAAACUCACAAAUAUGUGGAAAUUAGUCACACUUAAAUAGCAAGUAGGUCAAUAAAGAAACACAAAAGAAAGGCUGGAGAAAUGGCUCUGGGUAAGAGUGCUUGCUGCUCUUGUAGAAGACCUGAGUUUGAUUCUCAGUACCUACUUCUUAUCUAUGUGGGAAGUGUUUAGAGAUAAGCCUCUUUAAUGAGAAAAAAGAUCAGCAGUAAUUCGGUUUAUAUUCUAAGCUGUAGGAAAAGAAUAGCAAACUAUACCUAGAACAAACAAACAAAAAAGCAUGCAAAAUAAAAAGAGUAGAAUACAAUAGAAAAAAAGCAAUGAGUCUAAGCAAGAAACUGGCAAACUUUUUGCUAGACAUAGCAGAAAAAGGUAGACUAAUUAUUAGAAUGAGAAAUAAAUAAGAAUGAGAAAUAAAUAAAUGAGGGGAUUAUUGCUACUGACCUUUGGGAAAUAGAAGGUGUUUGAGGGAAUACUGUUAUACUUGUGUUUCAAUAAAUUAACCUACCCAAAGUGAACAAAUUCCUAGAAAGAUAAAGUACCAACAACAAAAUAUAGGAGGUCAGAAUAGACAUAAUAACUAAUAGGUUAAAUAAGCAGCAAGAAAGAUAACCAUAAAGAAAAGCCCAGACUUAAAUUGCUUUUUAUUUGAAUUCUACUAAAUGUUUAAUGAAACAGUAGUCCAAUUUCUUCACAAGCUGUUUCAAAAAAAAAACACAAAACAAAAACAGGGAACACUUCUGAGAUAUACUACUACAGCGUGGAAGAACCCUGAGAAUAUGUUCAGUGAAAGAAGCCAGUCACUGCUGAUGGCAAAUUGCAGGAUUUCAUGUAUAUGUAGAUAAAGUGUCCAGAAUUGGUAAUACCCUAUAUAGGGUAGAUAGGGAUGAUUAGAGUGGAUGGGGAUGCUUUGCAAGUAGAUGAAAAUGUUCAUAAAUCACAUUAAUGGUUGUCUAAUGAUGAAUAUACCAAGUGGAUGGAUUUUGUGGAAUGUGAAUUAAAUCUCAGUGAAACUCACAAAAAUAGGAACUUGGACAUUAUCCAAAUGUCCAUCUGUCAACAUGAGUGACUUAUGGCACAUCCAUUUAGUGGGAUACUAUAAAGCCAUUAAAGCAGUAGACUCGAUCUAUGAAUAUAUUGUGACUUGUACUCAUAUCCAAGAUUUUAUAGUAAGUUAUAAAUUAAGAUGUGUGUAUGUAUAAGAUGUAUGUAUAGUAAGGAUACAUUUUUAAGUAAAUAGUUCAUGUGCAUAGUUUGUAGAGAUAAUUUCAAAACAAAUAUAGGAAAGAAAUAGGGAAUGUAUAUAUAACAAGUUGUAUACCUUCUGGAAAUGGGACUGGACAAGCUAAAAAGACACCUUCACCUGGUGAACAUUUUUAGAUGGUGUCAUUUGGAGUGGUUUUUACCUUUUUCAGUAUUUUUUAAAUUAAAAUAAUUUUUAAAUAUUCUUACAAACACUUGGCUUCCAGAAUAUUUGUCAGACCCACUAUGAGGAGUUCUGACUUUACUCAGGACAAACUUCUAUUCAUUUGCUAUAUUGCUCACCUGAUUAACGCUCCAAUUUUUGAUAGCGUUUAGAGGAUGAGAAGUGAAGGACCCUGGUUACAGCCUCUUGCACAUGUUACCCAGGGAUGUACUUCUCAAGAAGCCAGGCUUCCCAGAAGGGACUCCUUCCUCUUAGGUGGAAAACCUUACCUCCUCCUUACUAGACCUACAGACCACUUAAAAAUGGAGAAAAAUAAAAUCGAGGAUACCUUUCAACUGGUGCAGAGAUACAGAAACUUGUGUAUCCAGAUGACGAAAUUCUACUCAGCAAUAAAAAUUAAGGAAACAUAUAUGCAACAACUUGGAUAAAUCUUAAAUGUAAUUUGCUAAGUAGAAGAAGCCAGACUCAAAUGGCUGCUUACUGUUAUAUUUCAUGUGUGUGUUCUCUGGAAAGGGUGAAGCAAUAAGGCAGAAAAACCAGUACAUACCAAGUGUUGGCACAAGGCAUUUUUUUUAAAUAAUGGGAACUUUAUGUUGUUUAUAGUUACAAUGUGUAUGUGUUGGUUUAAACUCAGAGAAUUAUACACCAAAAGAAUGAAUUUUAAUGUGUGAAUUUUAAAAAAAAAUAAAAGUAAUUUAUUGAAACAAAGAUUUGGAAAGAAUCAUUUCCAUUAA